GGUUAAGUUAGAAAGGGCGCACGGUGGAUGCCUUGGCACUAGGAGCCGAUGAAGGACGGGACGAACACCGAUAUGCUUCGGGGAGCUGUAAGCAAGCUUUGAUCCGGAGAUUUCCGAAUGGGGAAACCCACCACUCGUAAUGGAGUGGUAUCCAUAUCUGAAUACAUAGGAUAUGAGAAGGCAGACCCGGGGAACUGAAACAUCUAAGUACCCGGAGGAAGAGAAAGCAAAUGCGAUUCCUGAGUAGCGGCGAGCGAAACGGGAUCAGCCCAAACCAAGAGGCUUGCCUCUUGGGGUUGUAGGACACUCUGUACGGAGUUACAAAGGAACGAGGUAGAUGAAGAGGUCUGGAAAGGCCCGCCAUAGGAGGUAACAGCCCUGUAGUCAAAACUUCGUUCUCUCCUGAGUGGAUCCUGAGUACGGCGGAACACGUGAAAUUCCGUCGGAAUCCGGGAGGACCAUCUCCCAAGGCUAAAUACUCCCUAGUGACCGAUAGUGAACCAGUACCGUGAGGGAAAGGUGAAAAGCACCCCGGAAGGGGAGUGAAAGAGAUCCUGAAACCGUGUGCCUACAAGUAGUCAGAGCCCGUUAACGGGUGAUGGCGUGCCUUUUGUAGAAUGAACCGGCGAGUUACGAUCCCGUGCAAGGUUAAGCAGAAGAUGCGGAGCCGCAGCGAAAGCGAGUCUGAAUAGGGCGAAUUGAGUACGUGGUCGUAGACCCGAAACCAGGUGAUCUACCCAUGUCCAGGGUGAAGUUCAGGUAACACUGAAUGGAGGCCCGAACCCACGCACGUUGAAAAGUGCGGGGAUGAGGUGUGGGUAGGGGUGAAAUGCCAAUCGAACCUGGAGAUAGCUGGUUCUCUCCGAAAUAGCUUUAGGGCUAGCCUCAAGGUAAGAGUCUCGGAGGUAGAGCACUGAUUGGACUAGGGGCCCCUACCGGGUUACCGAAUUCAGUCAAACUCCGAAUGCCGAUGACUUAUCCUUGGGAGUCAGACUGCGAGUGAUAAGAUCCGUAGUCGAAAGGGAAACAGCCCAGACCGCCAGCUAAGGUCCCAAAGUAUACGUUAAGUGGAAAAGGAUGUGGAGUUGCUUAGACAACCAGGAUGUUGGCUUAGAAGCAGCCACCAUUUAAAGAGUGCGUAAUAGCUCACUGGUCGAGUGACUCUGCGCCGAAAAUGUACCGGGGCUAAACGUAUCACCGAAGCUGCGGACUGUUCUUCGAACAGUGGUAGGAGAGCGUUCUAAGGGCUGUGAAGCAAGACCGGAAGGACUUGUGGAGCGCUUAGAAGUGAGAAUGCCGGUAUGAGUAGCGAAAGAGGGGUGAGAAUCCCCUCCACCGAAUGCCUAAGGUUUCCUGAGGAAGGCUCGUCCGCUCAGGGUUAGUCGGGACCUAAGCCGAGGCCGAAAGGCGUAGGCGAUGGAUAACAGGUUGAUAUUCCUGUACCACCUCCUCACCAUUUGAGCAAUGGGGGGACGCAGGAGGAUAGGGUAAGCGCGGUAUUGGAUAUCCGCGUCCAAGCAGUUAGGCUGGGAAAUAGGCAAAUCCGUUUCCCGUGAAGGCUGAGCUGUGAUGGCGAGCGAAUUAUAGUAGCGAAGUUCCUGAUUCCACACUGCCAAGAAAAGCCUCUAGCGAGGUGAGAGGUGCCCGUACCGCAAACCGACACAGGUAGGCGAGGAGAGAAUCCUAAGGUGAUCGAGAGAACUCUCGUUAAGGAACUCGGCAAAAUGACCCCGUAACUUCGGGAGAAGGGGUGCUCUGUUAGGGUGCAAGCCCGAGAGAGCCGCAGUGAAUAGGCCCAGGCGACUGUUUAGCAAAAACACAGGUCUCUGCGAAGCCGUAAGGCGAAGUAUAGGGGCUGACGCCUGCCCGGUGCUGGAAGGUUAAGAGGAGCGCUUAGCGUAAGCGAAGGUGCGAAUUGAAGCCCCAGUAAACGGCGGCCGUAACUAUAACGGUCCUAAGGUAGCGAAAUUCCUUGUCGGGUAAGUUCCGACCCGCACGAAAGGCGCAACGAUCUGGGCACUGUCUCAACGAGAGACUCGGUGAAAUUAUAGUACCUGUGAAGAUGCAGGUUACCCGCGACAGGACGGAAAGACCCCGUGGAGCUUUACUGCAGCCUGAUAUUGAAUGUUGGUACAGCUUGUACAGGAUAGGUAGGAGCCUUGGAAACCGGAGCGCCAGCUUCGGUGGAGGCAUCGGUGGGAUACUACCCUGGCUGUAUUGACCUUCUAACCCGCCGCCCUUAUCGGGCGGGGAGACAGUGUCAGGUGGGCAGUUUGACUGGGGCGGUCGCCUCCUAAAAGGUAACGGAGGCGCCCAAAGGUUCCCUCAGAAUGGUUGGAAAUCAUUCGCAGAGUGUAAAGGCACAAGGGAGCUUGACUGCGAGACCUACAAGUCGAGCAGGGACGAAAGUCGGGCUUAGUGAUCCGGUGGUUCCGCAUGGAAGGGCCAUCGCUCAACGGAUAAAAGCUACCCCGGGGAUAACAGGCUUAUCUCCCCCAAGAGUCCACAUCGACGGGGAGGUUUGGCACCUCGAUGUCGGCUCAUCGCAUCCUGGGGCUGUAGUCGGUCCCAAGGGUUGGGCUGUUCGCCCAUUAAAGCGGUACGCGAGCUGGGUUCAGAACGUCGUGAGACAGUUCGGUCCCUAUCCGUCGCGGGCGCAGGAAAUUUGAGAGGAGCUGUCCUUAGUACGAGAGGACCGGGAUGGACGCACCGCUGGUGUACCAGUUGUUCUGCCAAGGGCAUCGCUGGGUAGCUAUGUGCGGACGGGAUAAGUGCUGAAAGCAUCUAAGCAUGAAGCCCCCCUCAAGAUGAGAUUUCCCAUUCCGCAAGGAAGUAAGAUCCCUGAAAGAUGAUCAGGUUGAUAGGUCUGAGGUGGAAGUGUGGCGACACAUGGAGCUGACAGAUACUAAUCGAUCGAGGACUUAACCAA
rnacentral:rRNA from 1 species